ACUGAAGUGAUGCUUCACUGCUCACCUACAAAGUUGUUCAUGGACUGGCACCAGCCUAUCUGGCUGAUUUAGUUAAACCUUAUGUACCGGCUUUGCGUUCAUGGGAUGCAGGACUGCUCUGUGUCCCAAGGGUGAGGAAAAAGUCUGCAGGACAGAGAG